rnacentral:lncRNA from 1 species
UUUUUUUUUUUUUUUUAUGGUCAUACCCACUGCAUAUGGAAGUUCCCAGGCCAGGGAUUGAAUCUGAGCUGUAGCUGCAACCUACACCUCAGCUGCUUCAAGGCCUGAUCCUUUAACCCACUGCACCAGACUGUGGAUCAAACAUGCAGCUGCAGUCAGAUUCCUAAUCCACUGCACCACAAUGGGAACUCCCCUUGAUUUUUUAAAAAAUAGGAAACAAAUGAAAAAAUGAUAAGAUUCAGGAAUCAAUACAGGAGGAAAUUGAAAUUGACUUGAAUAAAAACCCUGACAUUCGUUCAAUUGGGUACUGACUACGCAUUCAUCGUAUCAUUCUUAUUAUUACAAUUUUCAUAAUAAAUACAACUUGUAAAAAUUAGCUUUGGAUAAAGCCAAUUAGAGAAAGAGGUUUGGUUUGGCAAAUGCACUUUGUAAUGGUCCCAUGAUGCAACUGAAUCCAUCACCCCAUCAUAGACAGAACUGGACAACCUCAGGAUUUCCCAUAAGAUUCAAGCCUUCCCCAUAGUGUGUAAGACUGAGGAAUAGAGAAUUUGUUGAACCCUACUGACAAGCCAGGGGAUAAAGAGAGACAGAGAAAGGAAGUUAAACAGAGACGGAAACAGAGGAAGCCCAGAAAGGGUUUAACCUUUCAAGCUUGGUUCCUUCUAAUCUCAUCUAUCAGAGAAAUAUUCCCUAGUUCCUGGGACAGGGCGUGUGGGGGAAAGAGAAAGAUUGCCGAAUUCUCCCCUCCUGGGGAGUAGAAAUUUUUUCCCCUCUAUGAAAAAAAAAAAAAAAAAAAAAAGAGUGAGAGUGUGAUGCCCUGCCCAGAUCCCCCUACAAUAAGAGCCUGUUCCAAGUACAGAGUGCUAUUGGCAGUCUUUGGUAACUUCAGGAUUGCUACAUUUGCAGAAAGCUAAAUUGCUUUCUUGAUCAAGGCACCUUGAUCUCUUCCCAAAACUGUGAGAAAUAAAUUUCUGGUGUUUAAGCUACCCAAUCCCUGGCAUUUUGUCAGGGCAGCCAAGCUGCUAAAACAGGUGACUGUUCUUAGAUUGAUGCACUCUAAAAAGAUAAUGAAAAGCUGAGAGUGAUUAAUCAUCAACUGAAAGCUAAAAUGCAGGAUCUCUUUGGUAGCACAAAGUGGCUCUCAUCUCCUACAGUGGGAGAUCAGAAUAAACUCAGAGUGGCUAAUCUCCAAAGAUUAAACUUUUAGUCGAGACAGAUAUACUAAGCCCAGGUCAACGCCCUGGCUGGGAAAGACUGGGGCUUGACACAGUAGAUGAGGAUAUUCCCAGAAGUGGCCCACCCUCCUAUCCUAAGACCUAUCCUUUCCCCAUUAUUCAGAGAUGGUGGAAAGACCUCUUCCUGUUUGUAGCAACAUGGAUAGAACUAGAGAUUCUCAUGCUAAGUGAAGUAAGUCAGAAAGAGAAAGACAGAUACCAUAUGAUAUCCCUUAUACGUGGAAUUGAAAAUAUGGCACAGAUGAACCUAUCUAUAGAACAGAAACAGACUCAUAGAUGUGGACAGCAGACUUGCAGUUGCCAGGAGAGAGGGGAAGGGAAAUGGAUGGACUGGGAGUUUGGGGUUAAUAGAUGCAAACUCUUAUAUUUAGGAAGGAUAGACAAUGAAUCCUGCUGUAAAGCACAGGGAACUAUGUCCAAUCACUUGUGAUAGAACAUGAUGAAAUAAAUGAGAAAGAGAAUAUGUAUAGAUGCUAUGACUGGGUCAUGUUGCUGUACAGCAGAAACUGAUAGAACAAUGUAAAUCAAUUAUAAUAAAAACAUUUUUUUAAAGAAAAAAAAGACCUCUUCAAGAUUUGUUCUUAGGUUGUCUCCUGUCCAGUAGGCCUUAAUUGAUGUUAAGUCUCAAUGUGCUGGAUAUAAUAAUGGAGGAAAGGAAAUGUACCCCAAGGAACUUCAAUACCUGGCCAGCAUAUGCUGACAGAGUGUGUGUAGGAUUGAAUUUUUAGGGUGUUUGAUGAAAAAGAAGGGAAUACAAGGAUGGAUAAGUGAGAAAUUAGAUUUGGGAGCACUCUCCUAGUACUCAGGAUUUAAUGUCAUUAUAAAAUCCCCAAAAGACAAUGUGAAUUUACUACUAGGAUGAUUUUUUUAGAAGCAUGGAAAAAGUGAUGGUCCACAGGAAACUGGGUUAAGAUGCUGUAAUUGCCAGACAGUGAAAUUGACAGACAGUGAAAGAAAGAAUUUAAAGAAUCAGACUAGUUAUGCUGGAGAUCAUAUACUAUGCAAAGAUGAAAAAACUCACCAGAUGACUUGAUUACAGAAGGCCAGCAGGCUAUACCAUAUGUCUGGGACAUAAGAAUUGUAUGGUUGUGAGGGGCACCAGUAUCAUUAAGAGGCUGAGUAGUGACUUUCUAUAAGCCAGAACUGAAUGUAAAGGAAGUCAUUAAAGAACUAAGUUUACUGAUAGCAUCAGGGAUAAUAGGACCCCCAAAUGAUAGAGGACAGGUUGUGGGGUUUAAUGAUCAGAAAUCAAGUUGAGCAACAACAACAACAACAAAAAGACAAAAGACAAAAAAUAAAAAAAAAAAAAAAUAAAUAUUAUUAAAAAAAAAAAAAAGGAGUUCCCAUCGUGGCGCAGUGGUUAUCAAAUCUGACUAGGAACCAUGAGCCGCAGACGGAACUCCUGAUAACUAUAUUCUUUCGCACCUCUCUCAGAAAAGAGAAUUAGAAAAAGUUCUCAUUUACAUGUAACGGAAAACAAUAUACAUUUACAUUUAUGCCCC